rnacentral:snRNA from 1 species
ACAUUCAUUGGACAGUAGCAAAACCCCAAGAAAAUGAUGGUCCAAUGAACGGUAUUGCUAACGCUUAGAUAACACAUCACAUCAGUUAAAGCUCUGCUUUAUCUUGGUGAAAUUUUGGGGGG